GAUGAACGCUGGCGGCGUGCUUAACACAUGCAAGUCGAACGAAGCACCUCUCCCGAAGCUUGACACAGCUUGCUGUAGAUUGAUUCAUUUGAGGUGACUGAGUGGCGGACGGGUGAGUAACGCGUGGGUAACCUGCCUCAUAGAGGGGGACAACAGUUGGAAGCGACUGCUAAUACCGCAUAGUAAGAAGAAUUCGCAUGUUUUCUUCUUGAAAGAUUUAUCGCUAUGAGAUGGACCCGCGUCUGAUUAGCUAGUUGGUAAGGUAACGGCUUACCAAGGCGACGAUCAGUAGCCGGCUUGAGAGAGUGAACGGCCACAUUGGGACUGAGACACGGCCCAAACUCCUACGGGAGGCAGCAGUGGGGAAUAUUGCACAAUGGGGGAAACCCUGAUGCAGCGACGCCGCGUGAGUGAAGAAGUAUUUCGGUAUGUAAAGCUCUAUCAGCAGGGAAGAUAAUGACGGUACCUGACUAAGAAGCCCCGGCUAACUACGUG
rnacentral:rRNA from 1 species